rnacentral:rRNA from 1 species
GACGAACGCUGGCGGCGUGCUUAACACAUGCAAGUCGAACGGAAAGGCCCUGCUUUUGUGGGGUGCUCGAGUGGCGAACGGGUGAGUAACACGUGAGUAACCUGCCCUUGACUUUGGGAUAACUUCAGGAAACUGGGGCUAAUACCGGAUAGGAGCUCCUGCUGCAUGGUGGGGGUUGGAAAGUUUCGGCGGUUGGGGAUGUACUCGCGGCUUAUCAGCUUGUUGGUGGGGUAGUGGCUUACCAAGGCUUUGACGGGUAGCCGGCCUGAGAGGGUGACCGGCGACACUGGGACCGAGAGAAGGCCGAGGCUGCGACGGGAGGCAGAAGUGGGGAAUAUUGCACAAGGGGCGGAAGCCUGAUGCAGCAACGCCGCGUGCGGGAUGACUGCGUUAGGGGUGUAAAACGAUUGCGCAUGUGACGAAGCGCGAGUGACGGUAACGGGUAAAGAAGCACCGGCCAAAUACGUG